UACGGAGGAUCCAAGCGUUAUCCGGAAUUACUGGGCGUAAAGAGUUGCGUAGGUGGCAUAGUAAGUUGGUAGUGAAAGCGUUCGGCUCAACCCUAUUUCCAUUAUUUGAACUGGCAGACUUGAGGAUGAGAGAGGUCGCUGGAAUUCCUAGUGUAGGAGUGAAAUCCGUAGAUAUUAGGAGGAACACCGAUGGCGUAGGCAGGCGACUGGCUCAUUCCUGACACUAAGGCACGAAAGCGUGGGUAGCAAACGGG
rnacentral:rRNA from 1 species